AUUGAACGCUGGCGGCAUGCCUAACACAUGCAAGUCGAACGGCAGCACAGCCGUAGCAAUACGGUGGGUGGCGAGUGGCGGACGGGUGAGGAAUGCAUCGGAAUCUGCCCGAUCGUGGGGGAUAACGCAUCGAAAGGUGCGCUAAUACCGCAUGAGAUCGAGAGAUGAAAGCGGGGGACCGCAAGGCCUCGCGCGAUCGGAUGAGCCGAUGCCGGAUUAGCUAGUUGGCGGGGUAAAGGCCCACCAAGGCGACGAUCCGUAGCUGGUCUGAGAGGAUGAUCAGCCACACUGGGACUGGGACACGGCCCAGACUCCUACGGGAGGCAGCAGUGGGGAAUAUUGGACAAUGGGCGCAAGCCUGAUCCAGCAAUGCCGCGUGUGUGAAGAAGGCCUUCGGGUUGUAAAGCACUUUUAUCGGGAGCGAAAAGCGGACGGUGAAUACCCGUCCGUGCUGACGGUACCCGAGGAAUAAGCACCGGCUAACUUCGUGCCAGCAGCCGCAGUAAGAC
rnacentral:rRNA from 1 species